rnacentral:rRNA from 1 species
GAUGAACGCUGGCGGCGUGCCUCAAACAUGCAAGUCGAGCGAGGCUAUGAGUUACCGCAAGGUAAGGCAUAGCCUAGCGGCGAACGGGUGAGUAACACGUGGGUAACCUACCUGGAAGACAGGGAUAACGAUUCGAAAGGGUCGCUAAUAACCUGAUAAUAUCCAUCUGCCGGAUGGCGGAGGGAAGAAAGGGGAAACCCGCUUUCAGAUGGGCCCGCGUCCCAUCAGCUAGUUGGUAAGGUAAAGGCUUACCAAGGCGACGACGGGUAGCCGGUCUGAGAGGAUGUACGGCCACACUGGGACUGAGAUACGGCCCAGACUCCUACGGGAGGCAGCAGUUGGGAAUCUUAGGCAAUGGACGAAAGUCUGACCUAGCGACGCCGCGUGAGGGAAGAAGGCCUUCGGGUUGUAAACCUCUGUCAUGGGGGAAGAAGGAAGUGACGGUACCCCAAGAGGAAGCCCCUGCUAACUACGUG